AAAAUUAUCAUACUGAUCUGAGCAGUCGAUUGCGAGUGUAUCUCAAACUGCUGGUACAUAGUCAUUGUAAGAAACUAACCAGGCAAGUGUCCAGCGUUGGGCUGACUGCGGGGUACUGAGGAUUUAUAAUUCUGCUAUUACUAGUAUUAGUUCUAAAAUUCUAUGAAGUCUCGGAUCGGGUAUCAUGGCCGCAAAUGUGAAACGAGAGCAUACAUCUACGUCGACUACGAGUACAUGUACUACGACGAGUGUCAAAAUCGAAGCAGGAGAUGUCAACAUAAAGAUACUUGCUCCGAACGGGGACAAGGUUAGUUUUCGGAUCAAACGGACCUUGAAGUUUGCUGAAGUGCAACAGUUGUUUUGCAAGAAGCAAGGGUACAGUUCGAAUGUGCUGAGACUGCACUUCGCUGGAGACCGACUACAUGGUUCUCAAUGCCUGAAUGAUCUGGAGCUGGAUGAAGAUGACGAUCCCGACAACAUCGAGAUGGAAUUGUUUCCUUAUUCUGAUGGGGGCUGUGGUCGAGCAUGAGAUCGAGACAUCAUGAUUGCGAUGCCCUGACUAGCGUAGCGCACUAGUUCUCGGCUGUGCAAGAUUGCCAACAGGACUAUCAAAGACACUAGAAUCACUGUACUGAAACAGGUAGUACUUAUUCUACCCAGAUGACUGCACGAUUGUACUUGAUUGGAAACGCGUACCACUCCUGACUGUUCGUUUGGUUUUUCUCAACACUUUUUCAUGUUGUUCUCCUUUUAUGCCAUUCUCAAAUUGGCCGCCGGUCGGUACUAUAUCCUCUACGCGUUGUACUGGGACACGUCAUUUUAAUUAAACGUCCUCGGGAGCAAUACAUCAUCGAGGACUAGGCACACAGACUCAUAUCCACACCCAGAUUCAGACUAGUAAGUUCAUGUAUGACGUGUGAUGUGGUUCAUGAUUGUGUGGUACAUGAUGCAUAUUCAAGCUGUGACUGAUAACUGAAAUAGUAGCCAAAGCAUGUGAGUCAUGCUCAAAUACCGUACAUGUAGUCUUUAGUUCUCUUUCUCUUUUCAAGUCUGUAAGACUUGGGUGAGGCCUUGGCACGUGUGCCUACAAUACUGCCUUCAGUGUUGUUUGUUGUUUACAAGUCCAUCCAGACAACUGUCGUGUAUUUGCUACAUGUGUACACUGUAUUUUUAUAAUAAUCUAUUUUGCCGGUCGGGCACCGAAUUUACGAUUUUACCAUGUGAUUGUGCUGCAUGGAGAACUCACUGUGAAACCAAAGAAAUAUUCUGCAUGACAGUGUGGGAAUUGUUCAAUUGUCAACAUUCUGCUCACUCUGUCCGCCAUGGUCCAUACUGCAAAAUGUAAACCAAGAAACAUUUGCGCCCGUUUCAGUUCACAAUUUGCGAGCUCAGACCAAUUUGCACAAUAGUUUUUGACUUUUUUGUCGUACAGUUCUAUGUUUGCGCCGGCUUAUUUUGCGAUUUCGCGAACACCGCAAAGCACUCUAGAUCUCAAACGUUUCCCUGUUUA